GCUCAUCAAGAGUAGUGGAGGGACUGGCCCAAUGAAGCUGCGGCAACCAUUGAAUCAUUCAAAACGGUGCCAAAUCCUGCAGAAUAGUCUGUAAGAUGAGA
rnacentral:ncRNA from 1 species